ensembl:misc_RNA 7SK 7SK RNA
GGGUGUGAAGGAGAUCUGGCUGUGAUAUCUGUCACCCCAUUGAUCACCAGAGUUGAUUCAGCUGGACUGGCCGGCUAGGUAGGUGUCCCUUCCUCCCUCACUGCUCCGUGUGCAUCUCUCCUGAAGCUGUAUGCAAGAUCAAAGAGGAUGCCCUUCCCCGAAUAAAGGAGGCCCAGGCUUCUGUCAAUGGUAUACACGUAGAUGUGCCCCCGUUAGAACCUCCGAACAGGCUCUCUAGAAUAGCAAUAGUGACUGGCCUCUAACUCACUGACAAGAACUGUGACUGUAAAGAACUAUAAUAUCAUAGACCUAGAGCUAAAACCUUCUUAUGCUACCUU